AGAGCGAACGCUGGCGGCAGGCUUAACACAUGCAAGUCGAGCGGGCGUAGCAAUACGUCAGCGGCAGACGGGUGAGUAACGCGUGGGAACAUGCCUUUUGGUUCGGAACAACACAGGGAAACUUGUGCUAAUACCGGAUAAGCCCUUACGGGGAAAGAUUUAUCGCCGAAAGAUUGGCCCGCGUCUGAUUAGCUAGUUGGUGAGGUAACGGCUCACCAAGGCGACGAUCAGUAGCUGGUCUGAGAGGAUGAUCAGCCACAUUGGGACUGAGACACGGCCCAAACUCCUACGGGAGGCAGCAGUGGGGAAUAUUGGACAAUGGGCGCAAGCCUGAUCCAGCCAUGCCGCGUGAGUGAUGAAGGCCCUAGGGUUGUAAAGCUCUUUUGUGCGGGAAGAUAAUGACGGUACCGCAAGAAUAAGCCCGGCUAACUUCGUGCCAGCAGCCGC
rnacentral:rRNA from 1 species